rnacentral:rRNA from 1 species
GACGAACGCUGGCGGCGUGCUUAACACAUGCAAGUCGAACGGAAAGGCCCUGCUUUUGUGGGGUGCUCGAGUGGCGAACGGGUGAGUAACACGUGAGUAACCUGCACUUGACUUUGGGAUAACUUCAGGAAACUGGGGCUAAUAUCGGAUAGGAGCUCCUGCUGCAUGGUGGGGGUUGGAAAGUUUCGGCGGUUGGGGAUGGACUCGCGGCUUAUCAGCUUGUUGGUGGGGUAGUGGCUUACCAAGGGUUUGACGGGUAGCCGGCCUGAGCGGGGGACCGGCGACAUUGGGACUGAGAUACGGCCCAGACUCCUACGGGAGGCAGCAGGGGGGAAUAUUGCACAAUGGGCGGAAGCCUGAUGCAGCAACGCCGCGUGCGGGAUGACGGCCUUCGGGUUGUAAACCGCUUUCGCCUGUGACGAAGCGUGAGUGACGGUAAUGGGUAAAGAAGCACCGGCUAACUACGUG